rfam:TPA: Bos taurus chromosome 6, whole genome shotgun sequence.
UCCCAGGUAGCUCAGCUAGUAAAGAAUCUGCCUGCAAUGUGGGAGACCUGGGUUCAAUCCCUAGAUUGGGAA